UACGUAGGGGGCAAGCGUUGUCCGGAAUCAUUGGGCGUAAAGCGCGUGUAGGCGGCUUGGUAAGUCCGCUCUGAAAGCCCGGGGCUCAACCCCGGGAGGCGGGUGGAUACUGUCAAGCUCGAGUCCGGAAGAGGCGAGUGGAAUUCCUGGUGUAGCGGUGAAAUGCGCAGAUAUCAGGAGGAACACCAAUGGCGAAGGCAGCUCGCUGGGACGUGACUGACACUGAGGCGCGAAAGCGUGGGGAGCGAACAGGG
rnacentral:rRNA from 1 species